GACGAACGCUGGCGGCGUACUUAACACAUGCAAGUCGAACGGAGAGGCCCUGCUUUUGUGGGGUGCUCGAGUGGCGAACGGGUGAGUAACACGUGAGUAACCUGCCCUUGACUUUGGGAUAACUUCAGGAAACUGGGGCUAAUACCGGAUAGGAGCUCCUGCUGCAUGGUGGGGGUUGGAAAGUUUCGGCGGUUGGGGAUGGACUCGCGGCUUAUCAGCUUGUUGGUGGGGUAGUGGCUUACCAAGGCUUUGACGGGUAGCCGGCCUGAGAGGGUGACCGGCCACAUUGGGACUGAGAUACGGCCCAGACUCCUACGGGAGGCAGCAGUGGGGAAUAUUGCACAAUGGGCGGAAGCCUGAUGCAGCAACGCCGCGUGCGGGAUGACGGCCUUCGGGUUGUAAACCGCUUUCGCCUGUGACGAAGCGUGAGUGACGGUAAUGGGUAAAGAAGCACCGGCUAACUACGUGCCAGCAGCCGCGGUGAUACGUAGGGUGCGAGCGUUGUCCGGAUUUAUUGGGCGUAAAGGGCUCGUAGGUGGUUGAUCGCGUCGGAAGUGUAAUCUUGGGGCUUAACCCUGAGCGUGCUUUCGAUACGGGUUGACUUGAGGAAGGUAGGGGAGAAUGGAAUUCCUGGUGGAGCGGUGGAAUGCGCAGAUAUCAGGAGGAACACCAGUGGCGAAGGCGGUUCUCUGGGCCUUUCCUGACGCUGAGGAGCGAAAGCGUGGGGAGCGAACAGGCUUAGAUACCCUGGUAGUCCACGCUGUAAACGGUGGGUACUAGGUGUGGGGUCCAUUCCACGGGUUCCGUGCCGUAGCUAACGCUUUAAGUACCCCGCCUGGGGAGUACGGCCGCAAGGCUAAAACUCAAAGGAAUUGACGGGGCCCCGCACAAGCGGCGGAGCAUGCGGAUUAAUUCGAUGCAACGCGUAGAACCUUACCUGGGUUUGACAUGGAUCGGGAGUGCUCAGAGAUGGGUGUGCCUCUUUUGGGGUCGGUUCACAGGUGGUGCAUGGCUGUCGUCAGCUCGUGUCGUGAGAUGUUGGGUUAAGUCCCGCAACGAGCGCAACCCUUGUUCACUGUUGCCAGCACGUUAUGGUGGGGACUCAGUGGAGACCGCCGGGGUCAACUCGGAGGAAGGUGGGGAUGACGUCAAGUCAUCAUGCCCCUUAUGUCCAGGGCUUCACGCAUGCUACAAUGGCUGGUACAGAGAGUGGCGAGCCUGUGAGGGUGAGCGAAUCUCGGAAAGCCGGUCUCAGUUCGGAUUGGGGUCUGCAACUCGACCUCAUGAAGUCGGAGUCGCUAGUAAUCGCAGAUCAGCAACGCUGCGGUGAAUACGUUCCCGGG
rnacentral:rRNA from 1 species